CCUUUUUCGGGGUUUAGCCUGUGGAAAGCCGCGCUGCUCUGGUACCGAGUGGUUUUCGGUGGGUUUUUAAUUUUUGUUUUGUUUUCUCAGUCUCACAGGAGCCUGCCGAGGCUUGUUUCUGGAACCCCCUGUCGUGGGUAUCGCCCCCAAAUGGAGGUCCCAGGACUGCGGUUCGCGGAGCUGACCUGUGUGCCUGCCCUCAUGGGGCCUUUUCGUCCUUGGCAAGCCUGGUCUACUAUUUCAAUGCUGGUUUGAAAGAAAAUCCGUCUUGAUCCCAUGGCUUCGCAAACGGAGAACAAUCCCUAUAGGGGGCGGUAGC
rnacentral:lncRNA from 1 species